rnacentral:rRNA from 1 species
UACAGAGGUGGCAAGCGUUGUUCGGAAUUACUGGGCGUAAAGGGCGCGUAGGCGGCUUGGUCAGUCCCGUGUGAAAUCCCACGGCUCAACCGUGGAACUGCUGGGUAUACUGCUUUUCUUGAGCCACUUAGGGGCUGUCGGAACAAACGGUGGAGCGGUGAAAUGCGUAGAUAUCGUUUGGAACGCCAAUGGUGAAAACAGACAGCUGGGAGUGUGCUGACGCUGAGACACGAAAGCCAGGGGAGCGGAACGGG